CUUCCAGCCGGCGAGGUACUUGUACCUCGUCGACUGGAAGGGUGUCCUUCCAGCCGGCGAGGUACUUGUACCUCGUCGACCGGAAG
rnacentral:miRNA from 1 species